rnacentral:misc_RNA from 1 species
AACAAGGCGUACCUGCGGACCUGCGGAAGGAUCAUUAAAAAGAGUGUGUACCCCUCUGUAAAAUGAGUGGGUUACCUCCCGUCCUUUGUUGACCUCUUAGGAGGUUAUUUUGAACUUUCUGCUUCGGUGGGGUUAAACCUACCGGAACACCCUCAAAUUCUUAUCAUUUAAAAAUUGUUCAGUCUGAUUUUUGUUAAUAAAAACAAAAAACUUUCAACAACGGAUCUCAGAUCGGAAGAG